GUUAACGUGUCCCGCGAGUGAGGCGCGUCGCAAAAGGUCGCGGCGGAACUUCCCUGCGCUUUUCAGACCAUACGCUUUACGGUAUUAGGCAUUGCUGAGCUGGGAGAUGUCGGCAGCGGGUUGGGAGGAACCGUGGGGUCCUCCCGGCGGCUUUGCGAAGCGGGUCCUGGUGACCGGCGGUGCUGGUUUCAUUGCAUCACAUAUGAUUGUCUCUUUAGUGGAAGAUUAUCCAAACUAUAUGAUCAUAAAUCUAGACAAGUUGGAUUACUGUGCAAGCUUGAAGAAUCUUGAAACCAUUUCUAACAAACAGAACUACAAAUUUAUACAGGGUGACAUAUGUGAUUCUCACUUUGUGAAACUGCUUUUUGAAACAGAAAAAAUAGAUAUAGUACUACAUUUUGCUGCGCAAACACAUGUAGAUCUUUCAUUCGUACGUGCCUUUGAGUUUACCUAUGUUAAUGUUUAUGGCACUCACGUUUUGGUAAGUGCUGCUCAUGAAGCCAGAGUGGAGAAGUUUAUUUACGUCAGCACAGAUGAAGUAUAUGGUGGCAGUCUUGAUAAGUUGUUAUCAGGUAAACUUCUUUGUUCAUGCACCCUGCCACCCUACAUCAGAUCCGACACAGUAACCAGAGUGAUUUUUAAAAUGAUUGUUGUGCACAUUAAAGAAGCUACUACAUGUCCUUGGGAAAACACCAGGAAUUCGAUGAAUCUUCACCCAAACAACCUACAAAUCCUUACGCAUCAUCUAAAGCAGCUGCUGAAUGUUUUGUACAGUCUUACUGGGAACGAUAUAAGAAACCUUACGUUAGAAAAAAAUCUCUUCCCUUUGACCUUAAGUUUCCAGUUGUUAUCACAAGAAGCAGUAAUGUUUAUGGACCACAUCAAUAUCCAGAAAAGGUUAUUCCAAAAUUUAUAUCUUUGCUACAGCACAACAGGAAAUGUUGCAUUCAUGGGUCAGGGCUUCAAACAAGAAACUUCCUUUAUGCUACUGAUGUUGUAGAAGCAUUUCUCACUGUCCUCAAAAAAGGGAAACCAGGUGAAAUUUAUAACAUCGGAACCAAUUUUGAAAUGUCAGUUGUCCAGCUUGCCAAAGAACUAAUACAACUGAUCAAAGAGACCAAUUCAGAGUCCGAAAUGGAAAAUUGGGUUGAUUAUGUUAAUGAUAGACCUACCAAUGACAUGAGAUAUCCAAUGAAGUCAGAAAAAAUACAUGGCUUGGGAUGGAGACCUAAAGUGCCUUGGAAAGAAGGAAUAAAGAAAACAAUUGAAUGGUACAGAGAGAAUUUUCACAACUGGAAGAAUGCAGAAAAGGCAUUAGAACCCUUUCCGGUAUAAUCACCAUUUAUAUAGUCAAGACAGUUGUCAAAGAAAAAAAUUAUCCUACCUCUACAAGUGGUAUGAAAUUAAGUGACCAAAUGAAGUGCUCUCUUUUCAUUUGAAAUUAGAUUCAUGACUUUUUGUAUAAUAUUCAAAUGCAGAAUGCCUCAGUCUUUGGGAGAGUUUCAGUACUGGCAUAGAAUUUAAAUGUCAGAAUUCUUUCUGAAACCCUUUCUCCUGGAAACUAGGAAAUAAUAGGGGUAGAAGACUCCCCACGGGUAGCCAGGAAGAAGUCUCCUGGUUCUGACAACUAUGAGGGGUAAUGGUGCUAGGCAGAUGGCAACCUUCACUGGUUUUGAGCUCAGUCAGCUUCCCAGCCUUUCCCAGUGUCUAAGAAAGUCUCUGAAAUGUUCGUUUUUAGGCAAUAUAGGAUGAGUCUUAUGUCCUAAUUCACCUUUUCUUUUUUUAAGAUCUGAUAUACUAUCAUUGCCUUAGUAAUGGAACAAAAUAAAAGCAUAUCUAGCACUUUUUAACUUUUGAUAAUUUUGUAAAAUUGAUUACGUUGAAUGCUUUUUAAGAUGUAAAGUUUUUAUAUUUUCACAAUUAACCUAUGUAAAACCUUGUAUCAGAAAUUUAUCAUGUAUUUACUGUUUAAAAUUAUUUUAUUUAUAAAAUUGUCAAUAUCUUAAUGUAUUUAAUGUAGAAUAUUGCUUUUUAAAAUAAUAUGUUUUUAUUUUGCUGUAGAAAAAUUAAAAAAAAAUUUGAUUAUGUA